UGCUAGCGCGUGUUAUAUAUACUAUUAUUAAGAGAACCCUUAUUGUCAACUUUUUGCCACUUUUUUUUUCCUAUUUUGCCCUCAUUUUUUUAUACACAAUACUUACAUAAGGAGGGCAAAAUAGUAAUUUUGUAUCUUUUGCCCCUUUUUUCCUAUUUUGCUCUCUUUUGAUACACAAUACUUACAUAAGGAGGGCAAAAUAGUAUUUUUGUAUCUUUUGAGAAAAUGACAAUCAUAUCCCUAUUUUACCCUCACUUUUGAUACACAAUAUUUACAUAAAGAAGACAAAACAGUAAUUAUGUAAUAUUAAAAAAAAAUAUGUACUUAUUAAGAAAAAUUAUUCACACACACAAGUAGUAUAUAUAAAGUUAUCCAUUUUUGUUGAGGGUUAUUAUGUGACUAAAAUAUGCAAUAUUUAUCGUGAUUUGGGAAUACUUGACUCUUUUCCUUGACGCAUGAAGUCGGUUUUACAAAAAAAUAGGCUCGAAAAUAUGCAAUUUGUAGAGCAAUGUACAAAAAAUAUUUGAUAAGCAGUCCACGUAAUUUGUUUGGGUUACUAAGCCCAUCAUCUUUUGAAAAUAUGGAAAAUUAAUAAAAAUCGAAUAAUACGUAGAUACUCACUAGUGAUUAUUUAGGUACUCAUUUUUUGAUUUGGCCGAAUAAAAAAAAAGUUGUGGAUGCAAAUUUCUGCCGUCUUCAGUCUUGACGAAAAUGCACCUGCAAAACAAUUAACACAUUUGAUCACAGACCUAAGCCUCACGUGCCCACGAGAUGGGGGGAGGGUUAGGUCAACGGAUCUCCGAUGCCUAAGUUAGUUUCUCUGAGAGAGUAAAGU
rnacentral:lncRNA from 1 species